rnacentral:rRNA from 1 species
GACGAACGCUGGCGGCGUGCUUAACACAUGCAAGUCGAACGGAAAGGCCCUGCUUUUGUGGGGUGCUCGAGUGGCGAACGGGUGAGUAACACGUGAGUAACCUGCCCUUGACUUUGGGAUAACUUCAGGAAACUGGGGCUAAUACCGGAUAGGAGCUCCUGCUGCAUGGUGGGGGUUGGAAAGUUUCGGCGGUUGGGGAUGGACUCGCGGCUUAUCAGCUUGUUGGUGGGGUAGUGGCUUACCAAGGCUUUGACGGGUAGCCGGCCUGAGAGGGUGACCGGCCACAUUGGGACUGAGAUACGGCCCAGACUCCUACGGGAGGCAGCAGUGGGGAAUAUUGCACAAUGGGCGGAAGCCUGAUGCAGCAACGCCGCGUGCGGGAUAACGGCCUUCGGGUUGUAAACCGCUUUCGCAUGUGACGAAGCGUGAGUGACGGUAAUGGGUAAAGAAGCACCGGCUAACUACGUG